GAUGAACGCUGGCGGCGUGCCUAAUACAUGCAAGUCGAGCGAAUGGAUUAAGAGCUUGCUCUUAUGAAGUUAGCGGCGGACGGGUGAGUAACACGUGGGUAACCUGCCCAUAAGACUGGGAUAACUCCGGGAAACCGGGGCUAAUACCGGAUAACAUUUUGAACCGCAUGGUUCGAAAUUGAAAGGCGGCUUCGGCUGUCACUUAUGGAUGGACCCGCGUCGCAUUAGCUAGUUGGUGAGGUAACGGCUCACCAAGGCAACGAUGCGUAGCCGACCUGAGGGGGGGAUCGGCCAAACUGGGACUGAGACACGGCCCAGACUCCUACGGGAGGCAGCAGUAGGGAAUCUUCCGCAAUGGACGAAAGUCUGACGGAGCAACGCCGCGUGAGUGAUGAAGGCUUUCGGGUCGUAAAACUCUGUUGUUAGGGAAGAACAAGUGCUAGUUGAAUAAGCUGACACCUUGACGGUACCUAACCAGAAAGCCACGGCUAACUACGUGCCAGCCGCCGCAGUAA
rnacentral:rRNA from 1 species